GUUUGAUUUUAUAUAUUUAAUUUAAUCCCUCUUCGUGAUCUCAUAUACAUUCCAUUUAUUUGAAGUUAAACUUUUGUUUCGUGGUCAAUGAUACAUUUCAUAUUUGUGUGAGUUUGAGCAGCUGUUACAUUACAGCAUACAAUCUGAUGUCAUUACUUACAAUUUUAUUAUGUACAAGUUCAUAGGCACUGUUUUUGAAUCAAUGUUUUGCGUAUUGGUCAGAAAACAAAUGAAGGGUAAAUUAGAGAAGUUGUAAAUGUAGAAACAGUCUUGACUUUUUUGCAUGGUUGUGCAGUUUGUUGUCAUCUCUUUAUCUGGUUGGGGUCAGCUUUUCUUUAGUGGAUACAAGUUCUUCACUAGAGGCAAAGGCAAGAAGGAAGAGGUAUGUUUUUAUACUCUGAACUUUUCUUGUCAUUUGAUUGAAAUCUCUGCAAUCUUUUGUUUUCAAUGGUACAUAGAUGCUGGAAGUCAAGGAAUGGCUGCCGGGAGUAUUGAUCAAAAUUUUCUUUUCUAGAGAAUCCUUUAGGUCAAUGUUCGUCGUGGCUGUCAUGUUGAGUCAGGCAUAUCCGAUUUCGUUGGAGAUGUUUCUACUUUAAACUUUCUGAUUGACUAUAUUGUUUAAUAUUUUACAGAUUUUGCCAAAAGUUUAUUUAAUGGUAAAUUUUACAUCUAUAAAUCGGUUAAGGUCAUUCUAUCACACUAAUUCUCAGUUCACUCAAUCACCUUGGUAUGAAUAAUAUUAUCUGCAGUGAAUACCCAAAUCCAUAAAUUAGAGCUUUCAGGAUAAUUUAUACUUUAUGGUAAAAAGUCGGGUUUGGAUUAUUUUGGAUUUGAAUCAUUUCAGAUUUAAGUUGGGUUUGGAUUCAAGUUCAGGCAGGUUUUUAGGUUUAGGUUAGCUUUGGCAGCUAGUCUCCAUUGGGAUGACCCUAUUUUAUUAUCUAUCAGCAAAUUGAUAAUAGGGGUGCUGAACAAUUUUUAAAAGCAUGAUGGAAUGCCUAAGCAUGCAUUAGAUUUGACAUUAUUGUUGCAUCUAUUAUGGCUUCUCCCCUCAUUUUAACUUUUGUUUUGUUGCAGAACUUGGUGGAAACAGCAUCGUAACGAGGUUAUAGCUUUUAUUUUUUUUAAAUAUGCCCAUUAAUAAUGUGUGGCUAGAACUAUGAGUGAGCAAACUUGGAGGUUAGUUCCUUUUCAGUGAACGAACGGCCUAUUUCUUUGGUUUGUCCUGUUUAGAAUGGGAUAUAUCCAUUUUUAAGACCCAAAAUCUGUUAUGGAUUUGAAAUGUUAAUGAGCAUGUUGUCAUGAUUUGACUUGACCCUAUGCUCAUCCAUGAAUUCUGAUGGAAAA
rnacentral:lncRNA from 1 species